rnacentral:rRNA from 1 species
AUAUUAAAAUUAUUAAUGUUUAUUUUUUUAUUUUAUUUUUUAUAAAAAUAAUUUAUUUAUUUAGAGUUUUAGUAUUAAUUAAAAAUUAAUUUGAAGAUUUAUAGUUUAAUAGUAUUGUAAAAGAAUUAAUUAAAUUUUUAAAAGAAUAUUUUUAGUACCUUUUGUAUCAGGGUUGAUUAAAAUUUUUAAUUUUUUUUUAAUUUCUCAAAAUUUAUAGAGUUAAUUUUAUUAUUAAUUUAUUGUAUUAUAAAUAUUUAUAAAAUAAUAUUAGUUUUGAAAUUUAAUUCGUUAUAUUAUAUUUAGUUAUUUAAGAUUUAAAUUUAAUUUAAAAUUUUAAAAGUUAUAUUGAUUUAAUAUAUUGAUAUUUUAAAUUUAAAUUAUUUUAGGGAUAAGCUUAAAAUUUUUAUAUAAUAAUUUAUUUAUUUUAAUAUUUUAUAGGAAUAGAAAUUUUUAUUUGAAGUUUGUAAAAAUUUAUUAUUUAAUAAUUUUUAAUUUAUUAUAAAUUUAUUUAUUCUUUGUAUUAAAUUUUAUUAAUUAAUAUUUAAUUAUUAGUAAUAAUGAUUAAAUUAGUAUAAUUUAAAUUUAUAAAUUAUGAAUUCGGCAAAAAUUAUUUUCAUCUGUUUAACAAAAACAUUGUAUUAAGUUUAAUUUAAUAUAGGAUCUGCUCAAUGAUUUAUUAGAUAGCUGCAGUAUAUUGACUGUGCAAAGGUAGCAUAAUAAUUAGUCUUUUAAUUGAAGACUUGUAUGAAAGAUUUGAUGAGAAAUAAACUUUAUUAUUUAUAUAAUUAAAAUUUUAUUUUUAAGUAAAAAAGCUUAAAUUAUUUAAAGGGACGAUAAGACCCUAUAAAACUUUAUAAAUAUUAAUUUUAAUUUUUUUGGAUUUAUAAAUAUUUUAAUUUUAUUAUUUAUUUUAUUGGGGUGAUAAAAAAAAAUAUUUAACUUUUUUUAAAAUUUUACAUAAUUUAAUGAAUAUUUGAAUUAAAAUUUUUAAUUAUAGGAAAAAGUUACUUUAGGGAUAACAGCGUAAUUAAUUUUUUAAGUUCAAAUUUAAAAAUUAGUUUGCGACCUCGAUGUUGAAUUAAGAUUAAUCUUAGGUGCAAAAUUUUAAGUAUUAGGUCUGUUCGACCUUUAAAUUCUUACAUGAUUUGAGUUCAAACCGGUGUAAGCCAGGUUGGUUUCUAUCUUUUAAAAAAUAAAUUAUUUUAGUACGAAAGGAUUAAAUAAUUAAAUUAAAUUUUAUAAAAUGAAUAAAAUUAAUUU